rnacentral:rRNA from 1 species
UACGUAGGGGGCUAGCGUUGUCCGGAUUUAUUGGGCGUAAAGAGCGUGUAGGCGGCCAGGUAGGUCUGCUGUGAAAACUCGAGGCUUAACCUCGAGAUGUCGGCGGAAACCAUCUGGCUAGAGUCCGGAAGAGGAGACUGGAAUUCCUGAUGUAGCGGUGAAAUGCGCAGAUAUCAGGAGGAACACCGAUGGCGAAGGCAGGUCUCUGGGCAUUAACUGACGCUGAGGAGCGAAAGCAUGGGGAGCGAACAGG